CGAACGGGUGAGUAAUGCGUGACCAACCUGCCCCAUGCUCCAGAAUAGCUCUUGGAAACGGGUGGUAAUGCUGGAUGCUCCAACUUGACGCAUGUCUUGUUGGGAAAGUGUUUAGUGGCAUGGGAUGGGGUCGCGUCCUAUCAGCUUGUAGGCGGGGUAAUGGCCCACCUAGGCUUCGACGGGUAGCCGGCCUGAGAGGGCGGACGGCCACAUUGGGACUGAGAUACGGUCCAGACUCCUACGGGAAGGCAGCAGGA
rnacentral:rRNA from 1 species